UUCCUUUGAAAUCCGAAAAAUAGCAUUUACAAAAACAAGGCUCCAAAAUCAAUCACAUUUCUUCCUCUUUGAAGUUUUUCUUUCUGAUCGAGAAACGACGUAACACCGAUUCUUUUAUGGUGGUGGCAAAUGCGGCUGAUGAAACCACAAAAAUAUGCAGUCACUACUAUGUGCUUGGUGUGCGGGGCAGUUUCUUCUUUGACUGUGCACUUAUGCAAGGAAGACAGGUUUGGGGUUGUCCAAUUUUCUAGUAGCCAUGCUACCCUGUGUGCUUGCUGUUAAAGCUUUUAAUAUGAUUUGUAGUAGUACUAACAAUUUAAUGCUUAGUUAUUAGUUGAUUUUAGUAAUAAUAGUUUAAUAUAACUAAUAUUUUUUUA